rnacentral:misc_RNA from 1 species
UCCGGUUUGGCACCGGCAGUCCCUCCAGAGUCCCCGGCCACUCUCUCGAGUGCCGCUGGCAACUGGACGCGGGGGUUGCGCUCGUUGCGGGACUUAACCCAACAUCUCACGACACGAGCUGACGACAGCCAUGCAGCACCUGUGCUGGCGCUCCGAAGAGGGCCCCGGCUUUCACCGGGGUUACACCAGCAUGUCAAGCCUAGGUAAGGUUCUUCGCGUUGCGUCGAAUUAAACCACAUGCUCCACCGCUUGUGCGGGCCCCCGUCAAUUCCUUUGAGUUUCAGCCUUGCGGCCGUACUCCCCAGGCGGGGCACUUACUGCGUUAGCGACGGCACUCGGAGGGUCGCUCCCCCAAGCACCUAGUGCCCAUCGUUUACGGCGUGGACUAC